UGCAGAAGUGUGUUUGUACGUUCAUUGUUAACCCGACCAGAGCAGUACCAUAGUUACAAUGAAUUAUUCUUGCGUGAUUAUUCUGUUGGUCGUGUUGGUUUAUGGAUGUAUUGCUGAACCUCGGUAUUGUUUGCAAGACUAUCAACCAGUUUGUGGCACCAACGGGGUUACCUAUAGUAAUCUCUGCACCUUAGAGACAAGCGGAGCUCAGCUGAAUUACCAUGGAAGGUGCAUUCAAUGCACCUACGUCUAAACAUGCCUAUGAGAAAUGACGUUAUUUUUAGAAAAUAGAAAUUAUAUAAUAAUAAUCUCAAGACAAUUCACACAGCGCCAUCUAGACCCAAGUUAAGUUAGCUAAAGCUUGUAUAAUGGGUACUAGAUAACUGAUACAAAUACAUAGAUGUUUUUUAUUUUGUAAAUACAUACAUAUUAUACAUAGAAAACACCCAGACCGAUACAAACAAUCAUACUCAUGAAUACAAAUGUUUGUGCCGUGCGAGGAAUCAAACCCGCGACCAUCGGUCGUAAAGCGGUGUGCUAGACCGCUAGACCACCGAGGUCGUCAAUAUAUGU